rnacentral:rRNA from 1 species
AACGAACGCUGGCGGCAUGCCUAACACAUGCAAGUCGAACGAAACCUUCGGGUCUAGUUGCGCACGGGUGCGUAACGCGUGGGAACCUACCCUUAGGUUCGGAAUAACUCCCCGAAAGGGGUGCUAAUACCGGAUAAUGUCUUCGGACCAAAGAUUUAUCGCCUUUGGAUGGGCCCGCGUUGGAUUAGCUAGUUGGUAGGGUAAAAGCCUACCAAGGCGACGAUCCAUAGCUGGUCUGAGAGGAUGAUCAGCCACACUGGGACUGAGACACGGCCCAGACUCCUACGGGAGGGAGCAGUGGGGAAUAUUGGAGAAUGGGCGAAAGCCUGAUCCAGCAAUGCCGCGUGAGUGAUGAAGGCCUUAGGGUUGUAAAGCUCUUUUACCCGGGAUGAUAAUGACAGUACCGGGAGAAUAAGCUCCGGCUAACUCCGUG